UUAUGGUCAAAUCAAGCUGAAAAUAUUGCAUCUGGUUUGACCACCGAAGUUAAGCAGUGUCAAGCCCAGUCAGUACUUAGUUGGGGGACCACUUGGGAUCACUGGGUACUGUAAG